GAGCCCAUAGCUCAGCCCGGUUAGAGCACUGCUCUUAUAAGAGUGCAUCUCGUUAGAGAUGUAUCCUCGCUCCCUAACAAAGGGAAGUUGAGCUUCAAGAAACCGCAAGGUGUCUUAAGUAGGAAAGGCAGGGGUCCCAGGUUCAAAUCCUGGUGGGCUCA
rnacentral:tRNA from 1 species